rnacentral:rRNA from 1 species
CGGCAUGCCUAAGACAUGCAAGUCGAACGAAGUGGCCCAAUGAAGAAUGCGAGCUUGCUCAAAUUCGGAUUUGGUUUACCACUUAGUGGCGCAAGGGUGAGUAACACGUGGGUAAUCUACCUUCGAGUCUGGAAUAACGUUUGGAAACGACUGCUAAUACCGAAUAAGAUAUAUAGCAAUAUAUAUUGAAAGAAGCCUUUAAAGCUUCACUUAAAGAUGGGCCUGCGGCGUAUUAACUAGUUGGUGAGGUAAUGGCUCACCAAGGUAACGAUGCGUAGCCGAACUGAGAGGUUGAACGGCCACACUGGGACUGAGACACGGCCCAGACUCCUACGGGAGACAGCAGUUAGGAAUAUUCGUCAAUGGGGGAAACCCUGAACGAGCAAUGCCGCGUGAGUGAUGAAGGCCCUAUGGGUUGUAAAACUCUGUUGUAUGGGAAGAAUGGCUAUAUUAGGAAAUGGAUAUAGAGUGACGGUACCAUACCAGAAAGCUCCGGCUAACUACGUG